GACGAACGCUGGCGGCGUGCUUAACACAUGCAAGUCGAACGGUAAGGCCCUUCGGGGUACACGAGUGGCGAACGGGUGAGUAACACGUGGGUGAUCUGCCCUGCACUUCGGGAUAAGCCUGGGAAACUGGGUCUAAUACCGGAUAGGACUCCUGGCUUCAUGGUUGGGGGUGGAAAGCUUUUGCGGUGUGGGAUGGGCCCGCGGCCUAUCAGCUUGUUGGUGGGGUAAUGGCCUACCAAGGCGACGACGGGUAGCCGGCCUGAGAGGGUGACCGGUCACACUGGGACUAAGAUACGGCCCAGACUCCUACGGGAGGCAGCAGUGGGGAAUAUUGCACAAUGGGCGCAAGCCUGAUGCAGCGACGCCGCGUGAGGGAUGACGGCCUUCGGGUUGUAAACCUCUUUCAGCUAUGACGAAGCGCAAGUGACGGUAGUAGCAGAAGAAGGACCGGCCAACUACGUGCCAGCAGCCGCUGUAA
rnacentral:rRNA from 1 species